UACAGAGGGUGCAAGCGUUGUUCGGAAUUAUUGGGCGUAAAGCGCGUGUAGGCGGCUCAGCAAGUCAGGUGUGAAAGCCCUCGGCUUAACCGAGGAAGUGCGCCUGAAACUAUUGAGCUUGAGUGCCGGAGAGGGUGGCGGAAUUCCCGGUGUAGAGGUGAAAUUCGUAGAUAUCGGGAGGAACACCAGUGGCGAAGGCGGCCACCUGGACGGUAACUGACGCUGAGACGCGAAAGCGUGGGGAGCAAACAGG
rnacentral:rRNA from 1 species